CCUACGGGUGGCUGCAGUGGGGAAUAUUGGACAAUGGGCGAAAGCCUGAUCCAGCCAUGCCGUGUGUGUGAAGAAGGCCUUCGGGUUGUAAAGCACUUUCAGUGGGGAAGAAAGCCUUGGGGCUAAUACCCUCGAGGAAGGACAUCACCCACAGAAGAAGCACCGGCUAACUCCGUGCCAGCAGCCGCGGUAAUACGGAGGGUGCGAGCGUUAAUCGGAAUUACUGGGCGUAAAGCGCGCGUAGGCGGUCUGAUAAGCCGGUUGUGAAAGCCCCGGGCUCAACCUGGGAACGGCAUCCGGAACUGUCAGGCUAGAGUGCAGGAGAGGAAGGUAGAAUUCCCGGUGUAGCGGUGAAAUGCGUAGAGAUCGGGAGGAAUACCAGUGGCGAAGGCGGCCUUCUGGACUGACACUGACGCUGAGGUGCGAAAGCGUGGGUAGCAAACAGGAUUAGAUACCCUUGUAGUC
rnacentral:rRNA from 1 species